rnacentral:rRNA from 1 species
GACGAACGCUGGCGGCGUGCUUAACACAUGCAAGUCGAGCGGUAAGGCCCUUUCGGGGGUACACGAGCGGCGAACGGGUGAGUAACACGUGGGUGACCUGCCUCUAGCUCUGGGAUAAGCCUGGGAAGCUGGGUCUAAUACCGGAUAUGACCUCGCGGUGCAUGUUGCGGGGUGGAAAGCCUUGUGCGGCUAGGGAUGGGCCCGCGGCCUAUCAGCUUGUUGGUGGGGUGAUGGCCACCAAGGCGACGACGGGUAGCCGGCCUGAGAGGGCGACCGGCCACACUGGGACUGAGACACGGCCCAGACUCCUACGGGAGGCAGCAGUGGGGAAUCUUGCACAAUGGGCGAAAGCCUGACGCAGCGACGCCGCGUGAGGGAUGACGGCCUCGG